GGGGAAUAUUGCACAAUGGGGGGAACCCUGAUGCAGCGACGCCGCGUGGAGGAAGAAGGUCUUCGGAUUGUAAACUCCUGUCAUUCGGGACGAUAAUGACGGUACCGAAUGAGGAAGCCACGGCUAACUACGUGCCAGCAGCCGCGGUAAUACGUAGGUGGCGAGCGUUGUCCGGAAUUACUGGGCGUAAAGGGCGCGUAGGCGGUCUACUAAGUCGGAUGUGAAAGCCCGCGGCUUAACCGCGGAAUGGCAUUCGAAACUGGAGGGCUUGAGUGUCGGAGAGGUAAGUGGAAUUCCUAGUGUAGCGGUGAAAUGCGUAGAUAUUGGGAGGAACACCAGUGGCGAAGGCGACUACCUGGACGAUAACUGACGCUGAGGCACGAAAGCUAGGGGAGCAAACA
rnacentral:rRNA from 1 species